rnacentral:ncRNA from 1 species
GCGGAGGAAAAGAAACUAACAAGGAUUUCGCUAGUAACGGCGAGUGAACGCGGAAAAGCUCAGCGCAAAAGUGCACGACGCUUAGCAAGAAUGCACGGUGUUGCGUUUAGGCGCCUCUAUCUUGCGCGGCGGAUAUCUGAAGUUUGCCUGGAAUGCUGCUGGCCAAAGAGGGUGUUAGGCCCGUUCGGAUGUCCGUUGUGUGGGUUGGGAGUGUCUUAGAGUCGAGUUGCUUGGAAGUGCAGCUCAAAGCAGGUGGUAUACCGCAUCUAAAGCUAAAUAUGAGUACGAAACCGAUAGCAAACAAGUACCGUGAGGGAAAGUUGCAAAGAACUUUGAAGAGAGAGUUCAAGAGUACGUGAAACCAUCGUGGCUUAAUCGGACAGAGCUGAUUAUACCGGCGACAUUCACAUGUUACGUUUCGGCGUGGCGUUGCGGCUGGUGUGCGAGUCUGCGCACUGACGUGGCGUUCUUCGUUGGAAGUGUGAUGUGCAUUUGUCGUUGGUAACGCUGAGGCGUUCGUUGUUCCCUUCCAAAAUGCUCAGUGUGGCCCACGCUUCGGCGCGGUAACCUGUUGGGUGUGGCGGUUGAUGUGAGCG